GCGAAGGUGGUGGAAUGGUAGACACGCUACUUUGAGGGGGUAGUUGGCAUAGCUAGUAGGGGUUCAAGUCCCCUUCUUCGCACCA
rnacentral:tRNA from 1 species